rnacentral:rRNA from 1 species
CACGUAGGCACCAAGCGUUGUUCGGAAUCACUGGGCGUAAAGCGCGUGUAGGCGGUCUACUAAGUCUGAUGUGAAAGCCCGGGGCUCACCCCCGGAAGUGCAUUGGAAACUGGCAGACUGGAGUCCCGGAGAGGAGGGUGGAAUUCCUGGUGUAGCGGUGAAAUGCGUAGAUAUCAGGAGGAACACCGGUGGCGAAGGCGGCCCUCUGGACGGUGACUGACGCUGAGACGCGAAAGCGUGGGGAGCAAACAGG